rnacentral:rRNA from 2 species
ACGGGUGAGUAAUACAUCGGAACGUGCCCUGUAGUGGGGGAUAACUAGUCGAAAGAUUAGCUAAUACCGCAUACGACCUGAGGGUGAAAGUGGGGGACCGCAAGGCCUCAUGCUAUAGGAGCGGCCGAUGUCUGAUUAGCUAGUUGGUGAGGUAAAGGCUCACCAAGGCGACGAUCAGUAGCUGGUCUGAGAGGACGAUCAGCCACACUGGGACUGAGACACGGCCCAGACUCCUACGGGAGGCAGCAGUGGGGAAUUUUGGACAAUGGGCGAAAGCCUGAUCCAGCAAUGCCGCGUGUGUGAAGAAGGCCUUCGGGUUGUAAAGCACUUUUGUCCGGAAAGAAAUGGCUCUGGUUAAUACCUGGGGUCGAUGACGGUACCGGAAGAAUAAGGACCGGCUAACUACGUGCCAGCAGCCGCGGUAAUACGUAGGGUCCAAGCGUUAAUCGGAAUUACUGGGCGUAAAGCGUGCGCAGGCGGUUGUGCAAGACCGAUGUGAAAUCCCCGAGCUUAACUUGGGAAUUGCAUUGGUGACUGCACGGCUAGAGUGUGUCAGAGGGGGGUAGAAUUCCACGUGUA